rnacentral:SRP_RNA from 1 species
CACGUGAGCACGUGCUCCCGUGCUCGUGUAAGAACCGCAUCUCCACGUGGUGAAUGAUGUUGAUUAGGGCGAAGCUCUGGUGGUGCUUAUUUGCGUAGACGGUGAGUCGCAGCCAUGCCGAGCCUUUCGUUCGUUUUCAUCCAUGUCAGAAAGAGAAUUUGUGGUAUGGAACGUUGUUAUACACGCAUUUGAGCAUUUGACCGCAGCGUGACAUGGAUGAAAACGAACGAACGGCUCAGCAUGCUGCGGCUCAGCGUCUACGCAGACAAGCACCACUAGAGCUUCGCCCCAAUCAACAUCACUCAU